CUCGCUCUGAUCACCAGCUCCAGGAUUGAAGAGAGGACGGACUGAUACAGAGAAUUUGGUUUUAAUGGUCAGGAGAUGUUUUCUCUCUGUGACGUUGUAAAAUGACAGCUGACCUUCAUCAUAAUUCAACAGAACUCCCAGUCGCUCAGGUCUCGGAGUCAGAGAGAGUUUAACUGAUGGAGUAGUGUUGAUGUGAAAGCCACUAGGACCGUCUGAACACAAGAACCAGAAACCAGCUGAUGGAGUUAAAGCAGAUCUGUCUCUU